AACUAACAAGGAUUCCCCUAGUAACUGCGAGUGAAGCGGGAAAAGCUCAAAUUUAAAAUCUGGCGGUCUUUGGCUGUCCGAGUUGUAAUCUAGAGAAGUAUUAUCCGCGCUGGACCGUGUACAAGUCUCCUGGAAUGGGGCGUCAUAGAGGGUGAGAAUCCCGUCUUUGACACGGACUGCCAGGGCUUUGUGAUGUGCUCUCAAAGAGUCGAGUUGUUUGGGAAUGCAGCUCAAAAUGGGUGGUAAAUUCCAUCUAAAGCUAAAUAUUGGCGAGAGACCGAUAGCGAACAAGUACCGUGAGGGAAAGAUGAAAAGAACUUUGGAAAGAGAGUUAAACAGUACGUGAAAUUGCUGAAAGGGAAACGCUUGAAGUCAGUCGCAUUGGCCAGGGAUCAACCUUGCUUUUUUGCUUGGCUUACUUUCUGGUCAAUGGGUCAGCAUCAAUUUUGACUGGUGGAAAAAGUUCAAGGGAAUGUGGCAUCUUUGGAUGUGUUAUAGCCUUUGUUCACAUACAUUGGUCGGGAUUGAGGAACUCAGCACGCCGCAAGGCCGGGUUUUUAACCACGUACGUGCUUAGGAUGCUGGCAUAAUGGCUUUAAUCGACCCGUCUUGAAACACGGACCAAGGAGUCUAACAUGCCUGCGAGUGUUUGGGUGAAAAACCCGAGCGCGUAAUGAAAGUGAAAGUUGAGAUCCCUGUCAUGGGGAGCAUUGACGCCCGGAUCUGACCUUUUGUGACGAUUCUGCGGUAGAGCAUGUAUGUUGGGACCCGAAAGAUGGUGAACUAUGCCUGAAUAGGGUGAAGCCAGAGGAAACUCUGGUGGAGGCUCGUAGCGAUUCUGACGUGCAAAUCGAUCGUCAAAUUUGGGUAUAGGGGCGAAAGACUAAUCGAACCAUCUAGUAGCUGGUC
rnacentral:rRNA from 1 species